UCUGAACCCUCGGUUGGUGGUUUUCAACUAGACUAAAAGCCAAUAGCCCCAACCUCCACCAACCUCUCCUUUCCUCAAAACUAGGGUUGCAAACAUGUGUUCAUUUGAAAAAGAAUCGACCCCAUUGGCUCAUAUAUUUGAAUGCUUGGUCCCCACUUGAAGGAACUGUUUUGGAAGGGUUAGAAGGUAUGGCUUUUUUGGAGGAGUGUGCCACUAAGGGUGGGACUUGAGAUUUCAAAUGCCCAUGCAAUUCCCAGUUAGCUCUCUUUCUUUGCUCCAACUUGCAGAUCAGAUGUAAGCUCUCAGCUAGUGCUUCCAGAACUAUGCCUGCCUGCUUGCUUCCUUGCUUCCUGCCAUUAUGGUCAUGGACUUACCCCUGAAACUUGGCUGGCUAUGAGUGGAGAGUCCAAGAAUGCAGUACUUGCUCAGUCUGCCAGACUGGAUGUCUCAGCUGGUCUUCAAUGCUGGAAUCCUGAAGGACGCUCUAAUGCUAGUGAAUGAAUGAACUUGCCAGUGAGAACAAGCAGGCAAAGCAAAAGCUUCCUUCCUUCAAGUCCUUAUAUAGGCUUCCAACAGAAGGUGUGGACCAAAUUGGAUCUGGAUUAACGGUGUAUCUUCCCUUCUCAGGAUCUGGAAUAAAGGCUCGUCUUUUUCUAGCUCAAAA
rnacentral:sRNA from 1 species